rnacentral:rRNA from 1 species
GAUGAACGCUGGCGGCGUGCCUAAUACAUGCAAGUCGAGCGAACAGACGAGGAGCUUGCUCCUCUUACGUUAGCGGCGGACGGGUGAGUCACACGUGGCUAACCUACCUAUAAGACUGGGAUAACUUCGGGAAACCGGAGCUAAUACCGGAUAAUAUAUUGAACCGCAUGGUUCAAUAGUGAAAGACGGUUUUGCUGUCACUUAUAGAUGGAUCCGCGCCGCAUUAGCUAGUUGAUAAGGUAACGGCUUACCAAGGCAACGAUGCGUAGCCGACCUGAGAGGUUACUCAGCCACUCAGCAACUCAGACCCGCCCCAAACUCGUAGAGGAGGCAGCAGCUGAGAACCGUCCGCAGGGGGCGAAAGCCUGCCGGAGCAAAGCCGCGGUAGAGAUGAAGGUCAGCGGAUGGUAAAACGCUGUGAUUAGGGAAGGACAAAUGUGUAGGUAACGAGGAGCGUAUCAACGGUACCAAAGCAUAAAGCAACGGCAAACACCGU